rnacentral:rRNA from 1 species
AGAUUGAACGCUGGCGGCAGGCCUAACACAUGCAAGUCGAGCGGCAGCACGGGUACUUGUACCUGGUGGCGAGCGGCGGACGGGUGAGUAAUGCCUAGGAAUCUGCCUGGUAGUGGGGGAUAACGCUCGGGAAACGGACGCUAAUACCGCAUACGUCCUACGGGAGAAAGCAGGGGACCUUCGGGCCUUGCGCUAUCAGAUGAGCCUAGGUCGAUUAGCUAGUUGGUGGGUAAUGGCUCACCGAAGGCGAGAUCCGUAACUGGUCUGAGAGGAUGAUCAGUCACACUGGAACUGAGACACGGUCCAGACUCCUAGUGGGAGCAGCGAGGUAGGGAAUAGUGGACAAGUGGGACAAAGCCUGAUCCAGCCAUGCCGCGUGUGUAGAAGAGGUCUUACGGAUUAGUAA